rnacentral:misc_RNA from 1 species
ACAAGAGUUAAGAGAGGAGAAAAGUAAAAUAAGAGUUUGUUGCAUUAGUCCUGCUACAGUGAAAACAGAAUUUAUACCAAGAAUGGUUGAAAAUACAAAGAUUGCUGAAGAGUUUUAUGAAAGCACAGACCCCCUUCAACCUGAAAAUGUUACAGAAGCUAUUCUGAAUGUACUGAAAAUGCCAAAACAUGUUGAUGUUAACGAUAUUAUUAUACAGACCACUAUACCAUCAAUAUAAUUUAAAUAAUUGAUCUCAGAUUACUUCAGUUGGUUCUAAUUGAUAUUAUGGAUGUUAAAUGAUUCAAAGCUAACCAAAUAUUUCUAGUCUGUAACAUUUAAAAUUAAAUGACUCCAAUAGAUUUGUAAAUGAA